CCUACGGGUGGCAGCAGUGAGGAAUAUUGGUCAAUGGGCGCGAGCCUGAACCAGCCAAGUCGCGUGAAGGAUGACUGCCCUACGGGUUGUAAACUCCUCUUAUAAAGGAAUAAAGUGAGGCACGUGUGCCUUUUUGUAUGUACUUUAUGAAUAAGGAUCGGCCAACUCCGUGCCAGCAGCCGCGGUAAUACGGAGGAUGCGAUCGUUGUCCGGAUUUAUUGGGUGUAAAGGGAGCGUAGAUGGGUUGUUAAGUCAGUUGUGAAAGUUUGCGGAUCAACCGUAAAAUUGCAAUUGAUACUGGCAGCCUUGAGUACAGUUGAGGUAGGCGGAAUUCGUGGUGGAGCGGUGAAAUGCUUAGAUAUCACGAAGAACUCCGAUGGCGAAGGCAGCUUACUAAACUGCCACUGACAUUGAUGCUCGAAAGUGUGGGUAUCAAACAGGAGUAGAUACCCCUGUAGUC
rnacentral:rRNA from 1 species